UACGGGGGAUGCAAGCGUUAUCCGGAAUCAUUGGGCGUAAAGCGCCUGUAGGUUGUUUAAUAAGUCUGUUGUUAAAGACUAGGGCUUAACCCUAGAAAAGCAAUGGAAACUACUAGACUCGAGUAUGGCAGGGGUAGAGGGAAUUUCUAGUGUAGCGGUGAAAUGCGUAGAUAUUAGAAAGAACACCAGUGGCGAAAGCGCUCUACUGGACCAUUACUGACACUCAGAGGCGAAAGCUAGGGUAGCAAAAGGGAUUAGAUACCCCUGUAGUCCUAGCCGUAAACGAUGGAUACUAGAUGUUGUAUUUAUUUUACAGUAUCGUAGCUAACGCGUUAAGUAUCCCGCCUGGGGAGUACGCUCGCAAGGGUG
rnacentral:rRNA from 1 species